rnacentral:rRNA from 1 species
AGGAAAGCAGGGGAUCGCAAGACCUUGNCGCUUUUGGAGCGGCCGAUGUCUGGUUAGCUAGUUGGUGAGGUAAAGGCUUACCAAGGCUUCGAUCAGUAGCUGGUCUGAGAGGACGACCAGCCACACUGGGACUGAGACACGGCCCAGACUCCUACGGGAGGCAGCAGUGGGGAAUUUUGGACAAUGGGGGAAACCCUGUAUCCAGCCAUGCCGCGUGAGUGAAGAAGGCCUUCGGGUUGUAAAGCUCUUUCAGCCGGAACGAAAAGGUUACGGUUAAUACCCGUGACUAAUGACGGUACCGGAAGAAGAAGCACCGGCUAACUACGUGCCAGCAGCCGCGGUAAUACGUAGGGUGCGAGCGUUAAUCGGAAUUACUGGGCGUAAAGCGUGCGCAGGCGGUUUUGUAAGUCAGAUGUGAAAUCCCCGGGCUCAACCUGGGAACUGCGUUUGAAACUACAAGGCU